AAUGAACGUUGGCGGCGUGGAUUAGGCAUGCAAGUCGAGCGGAAAGGCCCGCAAGGGCCCUCGAGCGGCGUACGGGACAGUAAUGUGUAGGUACGUACCCCUGGGUCUAGGAUAGCUGCGGGAAACUGCAAUUAAUACUAGAUGAUGUCUUCGGACCAAAGGUGUGAUUCCACCCAGGGAGCGGCCUACAUCCUAUUAGCUAGUUGGUGAGGUGACGGCUCACCAAGGCGAAGAUGGGUAGCAGGUGUGAGAGCACGACCUGCGUCACUGGGACUGAGACACUGCCCAGACACCUGCGGGUGGCUGCAGUCGAGAAUCGUCGGCAAUGGGCGAAAGCCUGACCGAGCGACGCCGCGGGCGGGAUGAAGGCCUGCGGGUUGUAAACCGCUGUCGGAGGGGAUGAAAUGCCGAUGGGUACCCCCAACGGCUGGACUGAUCCUCGGAGGAAGGGUGGGCUAAGUUCGUG
rnacentral:rRNA from 1 species